rnacentral:rRNA from 1 species
GAGCGGAUGACGGGAGCUUGCUCCUUGAUUCAGCGGCGGACGGGUGAGUAAUGCCUAGGAAUCUGCCUGGUAGUGGGGGACAACGUUUCGAAAGGAACGCUAAUACCGCAUACGUCCUACGGGAGAAAGCAGGGGACCUUUGGGCCUUGCGCUAUCAGAUGAGCCUAGGUCGGAUUAGCUAGUUGGUGGGGUAAUGGCUCACCGAGGCGACGAUCCGUAACUGGUCUGAGAGGAUGAUCAGUCACACUGGAACUGAGACACGGUCCAGACUCCUACGGGAGGCAGCAGUGGGGAAUAUUGGACAAUGGGCGAAAGCCUGAUCCAGCCAUGCCGCGUGUGUGAAGAAGGUCUUCGGAUUGUAAAGCACUUUAAGUUGGGAGGAAGGGCAGUAAGUUAAUACCUUGCUGUUUUGACGUUACCGACAGAAUAAGCACCGGCUAACUCUGUG